AAUGAAAUAAAGGCCUUGAGAGCAGAGAAUCAGCAACUAAAGGCCCUGAACUUUAAACUGCAAAAUGAGAUUAUUAACAGAUUUGCGGAGUUGCUGCCAAACAGAAGUGCAAACAAGCAUGCUGUGCAAACCUCCCUAACAAGUGCAGCUUGCAGCGCUGCCCUUCAACCAGCCAACUCUUCACAUCUUAGCUCUUCUGGACUGGACCAUGUUGAAAUCCACAAAAAACUAAACAUGGCAAAGGAUACAUUCCAAGCAUGUGGUAGAGGGGGCACAUCAUGGUCAGCCAUGAUUAAGGAUUUAGCCGUGGCU